rnacentral:tRNA from 2 species
GCCGGGAUAGCUCAGUUGGUAGAGCAAAGGACU